rnacentral:tRNA from 1 species
GGAGAGGUGCUAGAGUGGUCGAAUAGGGCACACUCGAAAUGUGUUAUUCAGGUUUAUUCCUGGAUCGUGGGUUCGAAUCCCACCCUCUCCG